rnacentral:rRNA from 1 species
UACAGAAGCCUCGAGCGUUGUUCGGAAUUACUGGGCGUAAAGGGAGUGUAGGUGGUGACGUAAGUCAGACGUGAAAGCCCCGGGCUUAACCCGGGAAGUGCAUUUGAUACUGCGUUGCUAGAGUGCGAGAGAGGAAAGCGGAAUUCCAGGUGUAGGGGUGAAAUCCGUAGAUAUCUGGAGGAAUACCGAUGGCGUAAGCAGCUUUCUGGCUCGUAACUGACAC